rnacentral:lncRNA from 1 species
AAAAAACUGGCAAAACUAUUUGCCCCGACUUUUCUCUGCAUUCAUUUAUCACAACAAGCUCGUCCAAGCACCAUGGAGAAUCUGCAUAGUUUUUGGAGAAUAUGACAAUUGAAAUACAUGAUUCUUGAAUUGUUUGCUUGAGGGCUGGUGUUAUUUCAGUUCCUUUUUUAAGUUUUUCAUCCUUGAAGGUAUCGAUUCCCUUUUCCUUCAAAGAUUCAAAGAGAAAGGAGAGGAAACCGUCGCGGAUGUCUUUGCCUCUGAAAUUAAUAAAAACUUCAUAGUUAUUUAGCUCGGAAGGGGUUUGCUGGGAAAAGGUUGAGGAUGGAGAAGAAGCAGCAUUGGUAUUAAUGAUAAAAGAAGCGGUUCGCUGGGAAGAGGUUGAAGCAGAAGAAGAGAAAGAAGAACCCAUAACGGAAAAUUCAAAUGAUACAAGAAGCCGUAGAACGAGAGUUUUAUAUGUCAAAGUUGGUUGUGGUGUGCCCACUUAAAUGGGACCCAUAUGUGCAAAAGAAAGAAAAAAAAAAAAAAAAGGAAAACGUGUUAUUUGAAAAAGAAGAAAAUUUGGCAAAAGUUGGCAAUUUUUUUUUUGACAAAGUAUGGAGACAUGAAUGAGUUAUACACGACUCAUUCACUGAACUGAUUAUAAAAGGAGGCAGACGAAGUUCAUUUAAAUACAACACAAAUAGGGAGUGAUAGCAAUUGUGAGAAAUAGCAAUUGUAAGAGAGAAAAAUAGAGAUUAUCCAAGAAGAAAAGUUAAACUUAAUUCUUCGGGUAUUCUUUUAUAGAGGAUUGUGAGUGUAUGUAAACACUUUAUUUAUUUUUGUCUUAUAAAAGAUCUAUGGUAGUCCGGAGACGUAGGCAAGAUUGGCCGAACUCCGUUAUCAAAUUAUGUGUUAUUAUUUUCUUUUGCUCCCUCAUAAAUCUGACUUAUUGGGGAUUUUGCGUAAUUUUUUCCAACAUUAUAAAACGUAGAGGAGUGUAUAUAAAGCUAAACCAUUUAGAUUUAAGAGUCAUCAUCCCAGAAACUUCAAAGAAGAUUUAAGAAAGUGAGUGAGUGGAAGUGGGAAAGAGAGAAAAGUGGGGCGAUGCGAGAGUAAAGCAAAGAGAGACAUUUUAGUGCGUGCGUGAGCGGAUCUAAUGUGCCGUGUUUGCCGCUUCGCUUGAUUUGUAUAAUUAGAGUUUAUUGCUCACUUGUAAAAGCUAUUUCCAUUGAAUCCAAUUGCUGAUAAGUAUAAAAAAUCAUAGUAUAAAUACCGAGGAAAAUUGACCUCACAAUCAUAAUUUAAUAAUUUUUUUAAAUAAUAAUUAUGUAACUCUUGGUCAUAAUUUGAAAAUUUCAAGAAAUAUUUUAAGCAUAAAAAAUACUAUAUUAUUAAUUAAUCUAUUUAGUUACUCAAAAAUCAAAGAAUCCACCGUUAACGUCGUUAAUAUUUAGAUAAUCAAAAUAUAAUCAAUGUCCAUUAUCCAUAUUAAAACUAUCAUUUGAAAUGAUAUAUUGUAUGAUAAGUAACUUAUUAUAUUAAUUUACUUUAACAAAUUAAUAAUUAAUAUAUAUACUUAUCGGUCCCAUAAAUUUAACAGGCAAAAAAAAAUAUGGGGAAUAUUUUGGUAUUUAUACAUGGAAGGAGGGAGGAAAAGGGGGAAGAAAGACACAAUAUGAACACCAUCAUUGCAGUAGUCAAAAAAGAAAAUUGAAGGGAAUAUUUUCUAGUUAUACAUGGGAGGAGGAAGAAAGACGCAAUGACUUAGGUUAACGACUUAGGUUACGUUUUGUUGUGGGGUGCCCAUUCUGUGGGACCCACACAUUGUUGAAAAUAAAAAAGGAAACAUGUGGGUCCUAUGGGAUCCAUAAGCUUUGACAAAAGAAAGAAAAAUAGAGAAGGAAAUUCGGUCGACACGUUAUAUUUUCAGUGUACGCGUUACUCUUCUCUUAUAAAUAGAAGAGGAUGCAAUGCUUCAAAACACACACAUCAGAAAAAAAGAAAAAUAAAAUUUAGGGAGAGAGAGUUAUUUAGUUUUGGGAAGGGUUUCAUAAAACUAGGGGAAAAAAAUAUUGAGAAAAUUAUUAUAGGGUGUUUUUGGGAAACACUUUGAGUGCCACUAUUUUUGUAUUACUCUCUUUGAGUACCUACUAUUUUUAAUAGUGGAAGAGUUAUUCAGAGUUUGUCUCGUGGACAUAGCCCUAAACAGUUGAGGGUGAACCAUGUAAAUUUCUGUGUGUCACAAUUUUGAUUAUUCCGUUGCGUUAAUUUCCUCUUACUUUAUUAAAAGGUUCCAACAAGUGGUAUCAGAGGUGAGGCAAGUGGUACCUGAGGCCCAACAACUGGUAUCAAAGCUGAUGCCCAACAAGUGGUAUCAGAGCUGAUGCCCAACACGUUUAUUUUCGGAAGAUAAAAUGUUUUCCUUUGAAAAAUAUUUUUCGAAUAAUUUUUUUUGUUGUUUGAUUGCAAUAUUAAAAAUCAGUUAAAAAUAUUAAAAUUUUAAUUCAUAAGACCAUAAAAAUAUUAAUAAUAAUAAUAGAAAUUUCGUAUUUUAAAAAUUUUAUUGUUAAAUAUGAGAAGAAUGAAAAAAAAAUAAAUUAUGAAAGUUGUCAGUGACCGAUGGUGGGGGUCGACGGUAUCCGCUAGUGAUGAAUAAUAGCUAUCAAUGAUUAAUAAAUUAAAAAAUUAUAAGGUUAUAAUAAGUUUGUUAAUGUCCGGAAAAUGUUUUACUUUUCAUUUUUAAUCAAAAAUACAUAAGCAAAUUAUGUAUUUCAUUUUUUUUCGUAAACUCUGUCUCCAUUGACAAGACUUAUGUGAGAGACAUCGUCACAUACAGGAUCGGCAUGAGAGUCGUCAUUGGAAAAUUGAUUUCCUUUAUAUUCUUCUAAUAUUUCAUUUAUGUUUUUAUCGUCUUUUUCUCCAUUGGUAUUGGCUGCGAUUCUACGAUUUUUUUUCUUAUCGGAAAUCUAUCACUGCCAUGAAUGUUGUUUAUGCUCUAAAGGAAAAUAGGACUCUCGAUUAUACUUAAAUUAAUAUUGAUACAGUAAAUAUACACCGUUUUACUUGUUUUGAUCAAAUGUAUUAAUUGAUGUGUGUGUGCACAGGUGUGUGUGUGUGUAUAUAUAUAUAUAUAUAUAUAUAUAUAUAUAUCAAUCUGUUACUGUUUGGAGCAAAAUUUGUAUCAUAUGAAACUAAAUAGUCGGGCUUGGCCAUUUAAAAUGAUAGUUUUAAUAUGGAUAAUGGAUAGUAAUUAUAUUUUGAUUAUCUAAAUAUGAACAGUGAAUUCUUUGAUUUUUGAGCAAAAAUGGUUAAUUAAUAAUAUAGUAUUUUUUAUGCUUGAAAUACUUCUUGAAAUUUUCAAAUUAUGACAGAGUUACAUAAUUAUCUAAUUGUGAUUUAAAAAAAUUAUUAAAUUAUGAUUGUUAGGUCAAUUUUUAUCAGUAUUUUAACUUGAUCAGCAAUAAACUGUAAUUAUUCAGAGUUGGUCCCACGACGUAACAUUAAACAAGGUGAACCAUGUAAAUUUCUGUGUGUCACAUUUCUGCUGCGUAAUUAUUCUCGUAAUUUUAUUGCCGGCUCCUAACAAAAUAUAUUCUCGUAUCAUUGGAAUUCUCCGUUAUGGGUUCUUCUUUCUCUUCUUCUGCUUCAAUCUCUUCCCAGUGAACCCCUUCUUUUAUCAUUAAUUCCAUUGCUGCUUCUUCUCCUUCCUCAACCUCUUCCCAGAUUGCCAAAUAACUUAGGAGAUUUAAAAUCUCUGGGGGAACUCAUUGCAACAAGAAGUGGCAUACAAACAUUACCAUCUUCAUUGUCUGGUUUGAAUCUGUUACAGGAACUUAUUCUAGUUGAUUGUGGGAUAUCAGAAAUUCCAGAGAGCACUGGAUCAUUAGUUUCAUUAAAAGAGUUAUAUUUGGAUGGAAAGGUUUUCGAAAGCAUUCCUUGAAGCAUCAAACAACUUUCUAACUUGGUUAUCCUUAGCUUGAAUGAUUGUAUGAGGCUUAGAUAUUUUCCAGAGAUUUCAAUCUUAUUUUCUUUUUCUGCGUCAAAUUGCACAUGUCCAUUCUUUCAUUCGAACUGGAGAGGGAUGAUGAUAUUUUGGGUUUCUGCUUUUGUGCUCUUAUUGAUCCCCAACUUCUUCAUUCUCAUGAUCAAGGUUCCAUUAAAUGUUUUGCGGAAUUCGAAGAUAAAUCUGGAAAGAUACAUGACUUUUAUUUUUCACGUAGGCUGUUGAUGCCUAAGUUAGAUUCAAAACAUGUGCUCCUUUGGUACAAAUCUUUCGACUGUGAAGAGCAUUUCACUCGGGCCUCAUUCCACUUUGCUAUUAGUAAUAGUUAUGAACCUAGUUAUAAUAGGGAAGGGAUGAUUAAGUGUAGAGUUCAUCCCGUAUCUCGGGAACAAUAUAGGACACCAAAAUAAGAAAUGAUUCAAACCAGUAAGGAUGGUAAUGGAGAGUCCCAGACAAGGAAACGGUCGGCGAAUGCUGAAUUUUGGGAUAAGAAUUCAAGACCAAGACUCUGAUUAAAGGAAUUUCUAGUUUCGUGCGUUUCUCUUUGGGAUUUUGAUUAACUAAACUUCGGUUUUUCAUUCAAGUCUUUGGUUUCUAAGUUUCUGCAGUUGUAUGUUGGCUUUGUAUCUCAAGGGCUUGUUGCAGUUGGUGGAAGAUCUUUAAUCAUGUUUGCAGUUAUCCUAAAUGCUUGCAAUUAUUUGCUAAUUUGGAGUUUUGGAGGGAAGUAUAGAUUGAUCUUUAAAAGAUGUUUGCUUCAUUUCAAUUGCUCUUUAAAACAAAUUUUGUAAAUUGGUUCAAUUAUAUCAGCAACUCACAUAAUAUAAUGUUAGAACCAUUUUCUAUCAAUGAUAAUUUAUUUUGUCCCCUCUGUGUUUUAUUGUAUUAUUAUUUUUCCGGUAAUCAAUUAAUUAAAAUUGAGGUAACAGUAGUCAAUUAAAACUCAUAUUCUUUCGACCUUUUAUGCUAUAUCAGCCUAUCAAGUCUAUUGUUUUUCUUUUCUUUUUAUUUAUUUAUGUAUUAGGAAGUUUCAUAAAUUAGAAUGAUACCCUCUUUAAUUCAUUAAAUUAUAAAAAAUUUUAUAAUAAAACUGAUAAAAUCAUACUUGAUUAACUUUUUUAUGAAAUUAAAUUAAUUUUUAAAAAUAUUCUUACAUUUAAAAAUAUUUCUUUGAUAAUAUAGAAUCUAAAUAAAUAAUUAACCAAAAAUAAGAAUCUCAAUUCUUUACAAUUAAACUAAUACAAUUAGAUGCCAUUUAAAAAUCUUUUCAUCAUAAAUGUAUUGUAUCUGAUGCAACUGACUUUACACAAGCUUUCUCGUCAAGACGGGUGAUUAAGGUUGGAAGGUAACAAUUAAUUUGACUUUCCUAUAAUUUUUUUUUUUUGAAAUUCUAUUUUUCUAAGAAAAUAUAUUUCCAUAAAAAAAAUUGAAUUUCGGGAAAAAAGAGUUCAUCUUACCUUAUAAUAGUUAAAAUAUUAAGUUUUAUUUAAUUUAGUAUAUCUCAAAAAAAAAAAAACUAAAUCAAACUAUUAGGAUAAAAUUGCAAAUUUUACAGUAUGAAGGAUCUUACAUGCAUUAGUUUGGGUCUACAAGAUUAUCAAAAUCUAAGAAAAACUCAUCACGCUCUACACAUGCCUGUCCAUCUUCAUCUUCAUCUUCCAGGAAAAGGAAUGGACAUGAUACAAAUUGUCAAGAGAUGCAAUUUGAUGCAGAAAAUAUUCUUUAGAAUGGAAGUUAUGUCAAAUUUCUUAGCCUCUUACAAUCAUUCAACUUAGAAAGUAGAAUCAUGCUUGGCGGUAUGCUUUUGAAAUCGUUUUCAUCUAAAUAUAACUCUUCCAAUGAAAUUAAUGACCCAAUGCUCUCUGGAAUUUCUGAUAUACCACACUUAUUCAGAUAAAAUUUCCUUAGGCAAUUCAAACCAGACAAAGGAGGCAAUGUCAUCAAACCUUUACAUCCCUCGCAACAUAAGAAUUCCAAUUUGCUCAAUUGAUUGAUAGAUGAUGGUAAUAUUUUUAUGCCACUUGCUUUUGCUUCACGCUCCAUCCGCAAUUUUAAAUCUCCAAAAUUAUCUAGCAAUCCGUUGAAUUUCAAACAAUCUGUAACAUCAAUGCCUUCAGGAGAUUUUAACCCACAAAUACUUUGUGGGGUGGAACUAGACUUCAAGAAUUGGGAUUAAGGAUCAAUAUAAAUAUUUACGUGAGUUGCUGAUAAUAUUGAACCAAUUUACAAAAUUUGUUUUAAAGAUCAGUUGAAAUGAAGCAAACCUCUUUUAAAGAUCAAUCUAUACUUCCCUCCAAAACUCCAAACUAGCAAAUAAUUACAAGCAUUUAGGAUAACUACAAACAUGAUUAAAGAUCUUCCACCAACUGCAACAAGCCCUUGCCAACGUACAACUGCAGAAAAUUAGAAAUAGAUUAGCUAUUAUGAGUGUUAAUAUCCAAGUAACAGCCAAUAAUAAGCUGAUUCUCUCCACUACCGUGAUGCUGUGAAUUGAAAACUGAAGUCUACCAAAAUCCCAAAGUAAUACACACGAAACUAGAAAUUCCUUUACCUAUUGUCAAUUUCCAUUUGCCAUACAAAUUGACCUUAAUCAGAUUCUUUGCCUCAAUUUCUUCUCCUAUAAUUCAGCGUUCGCCACUUGUACUGUAUCCUUAUCUGGUUCUCCCUGAUACCAUCCUUCUUGGUUUUAAUCAUUCCUUAUUUCAGCUUUCCUAUAUCUUCCCGAUGUAUAGGAUGCAUGCCACAAGUGAUCGCCCUCCCAAUACUGGCACCACCUUUUCUGGGAUACUUUACAGAGAAUUGAUAAACAUGGAAUGAGACUCGAGUGAAAUUCGGCUCAUGAUCAAAAGAUUUGCACCUAAGGAACACAUGUUUUGAAUCUAAUUUAGGAAGCCCAAAAUAUGGCAAAUCAAAGUCACAGACAUACUCAUACAUCUUUUCAGAUUUAUCUUGGAAGUUCGCAUAUCCUGUAAUGCCAUAUUCAUCCAAAUCAAAAUCUUGGAAAUCAAUAACAGCGGAAAAAUAAAAACCCAAAACACGAUCAGGCCUUUCCAACUGAAAUGAAAGAUGAGACCCACUUGUUCGAUAUUUCAUAAUUUGUGGCACUUCCACCACCCCAGGGAUACAUAAUUGACACUGCUACUCCAUGAAAAUAUACUUUGUUAAGGAAUAUCAUAGUUAAAUAACGAUAGAGUUGAAUUUAAAUAGCUGAUGAAUGAGUAAAUGGAUAAUUUAAACACAAAUUUGAAAAAACGUCCAUAACAACUAUUGAAAUCUUUUCGUGAUAUUUUUUUUAUGGUAAGAUGAUAUAUAGUUCAAUUUUAUUAUGUUUAUCUCUUUUCCCUUGUCAAAGCAUAAAUUAAUUAAGAAAUUCACAAGUUAGGAAAAUAUUCCAUUGAUGUUUAUCUUCGAAAAUCUUAAUUAACAUUUUUUUUUAAUAAGGACUUCUUUAUUAAUUUAAUAUUAGAGAAAUGAAACAUACGUGCUGGUCUGGGUGUGUUGAGAAUGGGGCCUCCAUAAUCUGAAGACGUAAUUUAUCACCCAAUUUGAUGCAGUUACCAAAAUUAAGAUCAGUGUACCGAAAGUCAUCUUCUGUUUCUGCUUUGGAAAAGGACGAAAAUGAUACGAAUUCUAAAGAGGUGCAAUUUGAUGCAGAAAUUGACCAUGUGCAUGGAAGCUCUGGCAAAUAUCUAAGCCUCUUACAAUCAUCCAACAUAAGAGUCUCUAAGUUAGAAAGUUGUUUGAUGCUUGAAGGAAUGCUUUCGAAAGCGUUUCCAUCUAAAUAUAAAUCUUUCAAUGAAACUAAUGAUCCAAUACUCUCUGGAAUUUCUGAUAUACCACAGUUACCCAGAUGAAGCGUCUGUAGGCUAUUCAAACCGGACAACGGAGGCCAUACCGUCAAACCAUUACAUCCUGCAAAGUAUAAAUAUUCCAAUCGGCUUAAUUGAUUGAAAGAGGAUGGUAAUGUUUUUAUGCCACUUCCUGUUGCGUUAAGUGUCUUCAGAGAUUUUAAAUAUCCAAAGUUAUUUGGAAAUGUGCUGAAUUUCAAACCUCUAACAUCAAUGUGUUCAAGAGAUUGUAACUGGCCAAUGCAGUUUGGAAGAUUUUGAAGCUUUGUACACCAGCUUAACGAUAAUACAACAAGUUGAGAGCAAUGUCCAAUUGAUGAAGGCAAUUGUUUUAUUGCAGUUUUACUUAAAUUUAAAUCCCUUAAAUUGCAAGGAUGCUCUGGACAUUCUUUAAGUUUACUGCAACCAUGAAGAUUGAGAAUCUAAAGAUUUUCUAACUGAAGGAAGCUUGGCAAACUGCUAAUACUUUCACAGUACUCUAAGUGUAGCCGAGCAAGCUUGGCUGAAUAUUUAAGAGAUGAAGGUAUCUCAAUGAAACGUCUACAUCUUGACAAAUAUAAUCCCUCAAGCUUUCGGGCUUGAAAUGAGUCCGAAAUUCUCAAUAAAGACACAGAGGUAUUGAGGUCCAUCAAUUUCAAACUUUUAAAAGGCUGUAAUUCUCAAUAUGAAUGAUUAAAAUUUAAUGUUUAAUUUAGUAUAGCUAAACUUUAAAAAGUGCAGUACCUUACUAUCUCCUUUCCACAGUUGUUUGAGCUGGCUGCUAGGCAAGCGAAGUUCUACAAGAUUAUUUGGGCAAAACUUCGACGGCAAAGAUUCCAAAGGGUAAAAAAGCCAAGACAAAUAUCUUAGCUGUUCCCGAAGAAAGUUAAGGCCAUCAGGCAAAAUCCAUUUGGAAUCAGUGAUUCUGAGGAAUCUAAGAUUAGGUAUCUUCAUGAAACUUUUGGAACUUAUUUCAAUAGAUCCAGCAGUCAAAAAAGGAGGCGAAAUGCAAUCAAUCUUAUCAAUUUCCUGGUAAAACGAACGACAAAUUAAAAAUGAAUAUAUAUAUAUAUAUAUAUAUAUAAAGGUAUGAGUAUAAAAUAUUUAAAAAGAAAAGCUAUUGGAAUCAUCAUUAAUUACGUUGAGUGGUAAGUUCAAAAGUAGCAAAUUUUGCUCCUUACUGUAUUUGUUUUGAAUACAUGAGAAAUGUCCUUAGGAUUCCACAACCCACUACGUCCUCCAGGCUGUUUGCAUUCCUCAUUCACAAUCUCCUUUCCCAUUUGUUGUAGUAAGUUAUGCAUUUCUACUUUACGAUCAUAUUUUCGAAUGGCGAUGAGAGAUUUAUCAAUGAGACUCCUUAUUCCACAUCUUACAAAGAAACCAAAACUUUCUAUUAUUUUUUCAAGCUCAUUUUAAUGUGUAUCUCCUUUUCCAAAGAAACAUGCGAUAUCCAGAAAUAUGCUCUGCUCAUUCCUAUCUAACCCAUCAUAACCUAGUUUUAGAACAUCUUGAAUUCUCUUGUUCGGGAUGCUUUUCAAUUUUAGCAACUGGCUCUCCCAGUACUCUUUCUCCUUGCCAUAAAGGCUAGAGCCUAAAACUUUUAGUGCUAAUGGAUUGCCUUGAGCAUAACGUAUCACCUCCUUGGAUAGCAAAACAUAUCCUUCUUUCGGUUCAUCUUGAUGGAAAGCAUGCAAGCUAAAGAGUUGAAGAGCUUCCUUAUAAAUUAAUCCCUUAACCUGAUAAAUAUGUUCUUCACGACAAACAUUUUUAAGCACUUGUCUAUCUGUACUAGUUAUAAUGAUUCUACUUCCCUUACGGUACAAACUACUGUUUCCAGCUAAAAGAUCUAAAUCGUUUGAAUCAUCAAUGUCAUCAAAAACAAUAAGAACUUUCUUUUUUUGCAGUCUUCUCAUAAUCCAAUCAUCUAAUACUAAAAGUGGUAAGCCUAUUUUGAAAUAUUCGUCUCCCAAUAGUGAACGAAUGAUUUUAUCCCGUAAAACAAUUGCUGUUUCCUUCCUUAUUUGUUCCUUGACAUUUGAAACAAAGCAGUGGGCAUCAAAUUUAGCCUUGAUUUGGGAAAACACUAUACCGGCAAGAGUUGUCUUUCCAAUACCAGCCAUUCCCGAAAUUCCUAUUGUCCAAUUUCUGUCAUUUACAUCAAUAUCCAAUAACGAUAUUACUCCCUCGACACGUGAAUGAAUUCCAACUAACUUGUCAUGGUAACUAGCAUUUGAUGGCAUAUGACUUAACAUCUCUGAAACACGAUUGACGAUUCUUUGAACUAGCAUUUGGUCAUUUCUGAUCACAUAUGAAAAAUAAAAAGUAAGCCAAAACUUAUAUAUUCUAGAAUAGAAUAAAUUAAGUGUUUGGAAGAACUGGGUGGGUAAAACCCAUGAUUGAAGGAAUAGAAGAAAAUGAAACAGAAUUUUAACAAGAAAAUAAAAAUAAGUGAGAGUUCAAAGGAGUAGAUAUCGUGACUAGAAGCCAUCUAUCGUGUGCGCAAGAUUGAUCUAUUAUUGAUGAAUAGAAAAUAAAAAGACAUGGAAAAGUAAAUAAGGGAAAAUGAUAACUUUACUUGAUCUCAUUCGAAACAAAAGCACUUAAGUCGUUGCUGAUUGUCUUCAGAGCAUGGCAGCAUCCACCCAGGUUAUGUGAGCUAUCGCUGUGAUCUUUUAAAAGCCUAGCAAGUGCCCUUGCGAAAGGGCCUCUCAGCUCUUGAACAUCAGUUGGAUCUACACGGUAAAAAACUGGNNNNNNNNNNNNNNNNNNNNNNNNNNNNNNNNNNNNNNNNNNNNNNNNNNNNNNNNNNNNNNNNNNNNNNNNNNNNNNNNNNNCAUAGUUUUUGGAGAAUAUGACAAUUGAAAUACAUGAUUCUUGAAUUGUUUGCUUGAGGGCUGGUGUUAUUUCAGUUCCUUUUUGAAGGUUUUCAUCCUUGAAGGUAUCGAUUCCUUUUUCCUUCAAAGAUUCAAAGAGAAAGGAGAGAAAACCGUCGCGGAUGUCUUUGCCUCUGAAAUUAAUAAAAACUUCAUAGUUAUUUAGCUCGGAAUGGGUUUGCUGGGAAGAGGUUGAGGAAGGUGAAGAAGCAGCAUUGGUAUUAAUGAUAAAAGAAGGGGUUCGCUGGGAAGAGGUUGAAGCAGAAGAAGAGAAAGAAGAACCCAUAAUGGAGAAUUCCAAUGAUACAAGAAGCCGCAGAAGGCGAGUUUUAUAAAAUGUAGAAGAGUAUAUAUAUAUAUAUAUAUAUAUAUAUAUAUAGCUUAACCAUAGAGAUUUGAGAAACACACUCACACAGACAUCAGCUUUAGGAAAGUGAGUGAGUGGAAGUAGGAAAGAGAGAAAAGUGAGGCGAUGGAGAGUCAAGCAAAAAAGAGAGUCAACUGAAUCCAAUUGCUGAUAAGUAUAAAAAUCAUAGUAUAAGUACUGAGGAAAAUUCACCUCACAAUCAUAAUCUAAUAAUUUUUUUUAAAUCAUAAUUAGAUAAUUAUGUAACUCUUUGUUAUAAUUUGAAAUUUUCAAAAAAUAUUUCAAACAUAAAAAAAUACUAUAUUAUUAAUUAAUCUAUUUAAUUGCUCAAAAAUCAAAGAAUCCAUAGUUAAUGUUAUUAAUGUUUAAAUAAUCAAAAUGAAAUCACUGUCCCUUAUCUACGUUAAAAAUAAUAUAUUUGCCUUAAAUUAUAUAUAUAUAUAUAUAUAUAUAUAUAUAUAUAUUAUACAUCAUAAUAUAUAAAAAUAAUUAUACCAUUAAUAGUCAUUUUAUAUUUUAACAGCAACUUAACAUUUUACCAAAUACGAAUAGUAAUCAGCUAAUCGCUAUUAAUCAUGAGUUACUAACUACCAGCAACCCCUAUCAAUUAGCAGCUGGUAUGAACCGCUACACUAAAGGGCUUUAAUAAAUCAACAUUCUCAAAUCUCCAUCUCAUCUUAAAGCUCCAUCUUCUUCUUCUCAACUCUCCCAAUCUCCUCUUUUAUUAUAUUGCCAUAAUUUGAAAAUUUUGAUAAAUAUUUCAAGCAUCAAAAAUAUUAUAUUAUUAAUUUAUUUAUUUAGUUGCUAAAAAUUAAAGAAUCCACCCUUAAUGUUUAGAUAAUCAAAAUAUAAUCAUUGUCCAUUAUCCACAUUAAAACUGUCAUUUGAAAUUAUAUAUUGUAUAAUAGGUAACUUAUUAUAUAAAUUUACUUUAAAUUAAUAAUUAAUAUGUAUACUUCUCAGUCCCAUAAUUUUAAUGGGCAAAAAAAAUAAAAAAGGAAUUCUAUCCCUCUUGUUUAUUGGAUUUAUUUCCUUGAUUAAUGCAAUAAUAUUAUCUUUCAAAAAAAAAAAUUUUAAUAGGCAAAAAAGAAAAUUAUUGGGAAUAUUUGGUAUUUAUACAUGGAAAGAGGGAGGAAAGCUGAAGAUACAAUGAUAAUAUUGGUGAAAUCAAAGGGUUUGAUGAUUUUGAGGUGGUUCUUUGAUUUGUUCAUGGCUAGGAGCCAAAUUUCUAUAGUCGGUUGCUUUUACUAAUAAAUUGAAUAGGCCUAAACAUCCAGUAUGAGCUGGAAAAUCAAAUUAGCAGGGUUAUUUUGAUGCGCAGACUAUAAAUAAUAUUCUCAUAAUUGCUUUUGUUACAAAUUAAAUUUAGAGAGAAAGAAAAUAAUUUUUUCUAUCAAAUAAAACUAAUAGAGUUAUAAUAAAGUCAUAUUUGAUAAAAAUUAAUUGAAUAAUGUAGUUACAUUAGCAAAAAAAAAAUUAAAAUAUUGAUUUCAAUUCACUAAAAUUUAUUUCAUCAAAAUUAAAUAUUCUUAUAAUACCUCAUCCAAUUUGAACAUGUGAGAAUUUUAAAGAGCAAAAAAAAAAAAAUAACUAACUAUAUAAGUUGAAUUACAAUAAUUUACUCACAAUAAUUAAUUGUGCUAUUUAAUAUUUUAGUUCAUUACUUGAGAAUCAAAAAGAGCUUAUAAUUUUACUUUUCAUUUUUAAUUAAAAAUACAUAAGCAAAUUAUUUAUUUCAUUUUUUUUUCAUAAACAUUGUCUCCAUUGACAAGACUGAUGUGAGAGUCAUCAUCACAUACAGGAUCGGCAUGAGAGUCCUCACCAGAAAAUUGAUUUCGUUUAUAUUCUUCUAAUAUUUCAUUUAUAUUUUUAUCGUCUUCUUCUCUAUUGGUAUUGGUUGCGAUUCUACGAUUUUUUUUCUUAUUGAAAAUCUAUAACUGCCAUGAAUGUUGUUUAUACUCUAAAAAAAGACAGGACUCUCGAUUCUGCUUAAAUUAAUAUUGAUACAGUAAAUAUACAUCGUUUUUACUUGAUUUGAUCAAAUGUGUUAAUUGAUGUAAAUAUAUAUAUCAAUCUGUUAUUGUAUGGAGCAAAAUUUGCAUCAUAUGAAACUAAAUAGUCGGGCAUGGCCAUUUUAAAUGAUAGUUUUAAUGUGGAUAAUGGAUAGUAAUUAUAUUUUGAUUAUCUAAACAUUAACGGUGAAUUCUUUAAUUUUUGAGCAAAACAGAUUAAUUAAUAAUAUAAUAUUUUUGAUGCUUGAAAUGUUUCUUGAAAUUUUCAAAUUAUGACCAAGAGUUACAUAAUUAUCUAAUUGUGAUUUAAAAAAAUUAUUAAAUUAUAAUUGUCAGGUCAAUUUUCCUCGGUAUUUUGACUUGAUCAGCAAUGAACUGUACUUAAUACAAAUCAAUGGUUUAGCUUUAUAUAUACUCUUCUGCUUUUUAUAAAACUCGCCUUCUACGGCUUCUUGUAUCAUUUGAAUUCUCCGUUAUGGGUUCUUCUUUCUCUUCUUGUGCUUCAACCUCUUCCCAGAUUGCCAAAUAACUUAGGAGAUUUAAAAUCUCUUGGGGAACUCAUUGCAACAAAAAGUGGCAUACAAACAUUACCAUCUUCAUUGUCUGGUUUGAAUCUGAUGCAGGAACUUAUUCUAGUUGCUUGUGCUAUAUCAGAAAUUCCAGAGAGCACUGGAUCAUUAGUUUCAUUAAAAGAGUUAUAUCUGGAUGGAAACGGUUUCGAAAGCAUUCCUGCAAACAUCAAACAACUUUCUAACUUCGUUAUCCUUAGCUUGAAUGAUUGUAUGAGGCUUAGACAUUUGCCAGAGAUUCCAAUCUUAUUUUCGUUUUCUGCAUCAAAUUGCACCUCUUUAGAAUUCGUAUCGUGUCCAUUCUUUUCCCAUGAAGAUGAAGAUGGAUUUCUGUUUGUAUGUCUUAACUUUAUUAAUUGCAUCAAAUUGGGCGAAAAUGUAGGUAUUAAAAUUAUAGAAACCGUAUUGUCACCACAUUCAAACAUAGAGGUAUGGUUCCUUUCUCUAAUGUUCCACUCUAUUUUGAAACAGCUUUGAGAGUCCUAACUUAAGUGUUAAUUUGACUGUAUUUUUCCCAAUUUUAUUUUCAUGGGACAGGUGUUCGGAAUAUGUAUCCCUGGGAUGGAAGUACCGCAAAGUAUGAGAUAUCAGACAAGUGGAUCUCAUCUUUCAUUCGAGCUGGAGAGGGAUGAUGAUAUUUUGGGUUUCUGCUUUUGCGCUGUUAUUGAUCCCCAACUUCUUCAUUCUCAUGAUCAAGGUUCCAUUAAAUGUUUUGCUGAAUUCAAAGAUAAAUCUGGAAAGAUCCAUGGCUUUUAUUUUUUCAGGUAUGCUGUUGAUGCCUAAGUUAGAUUCAAAACAUGUGCUCCUUUGGUACAAAUCUUUCGACUGAGAAGAGCAUUUCACUCGGGCCUCAUUCCACUUUGCUAUUAGUAAGAGUUAUGAACCUAGUUAUAAUAGGGAACCGAUGAUUAAGUGUAGUGUUCAUCCUGUUUCUCGGGAACAAUAUAGGAAACCAAAACAAGAAAUGAUUCAAACCAACAAGGAUUGUAAUGGAGAGCCCCAGACAAGGAAACGGUCGGCGAAUGCUGAAUUUUGGGAUAAGAAAUCAAGACCAAGACUUUGAUUAAAGGAAUUUCUAGUUUCGUGUGUUUCUCUUUGGGAUUUUGAUUAACUAAACUUCAGUUUUUAAUUCAAAUCUUUGGUUUCUAAGUUUCGGCAGUUAUGGGUUAGCGCUGUAUCUUUAGGGCUUGUUGCAGUUGGUGGAAGAUCUUUAAUCAUGUUUGUAGUUAUCCUAAAUGCUUGUAAAUUUUAAUUAUUUGCUGUCAUCCUAAUGUCUUUAAUUAUUUGCUAGUUUGGAAUUUAGGAGGGAAGUAUGUAAUAAUGUACAUGAUUCAAUAACCUAGAUUUUUAAAAGAUGUUUGCUUCAUUUCAAUUGAUCUUUAAAACAAAUUUUGUAAAUUGGUUCAAUUUUAUCAGCAACUCACGUAAAUAUUUGGGUCUACAAGAUUAUCAAAAUCUAAGAAAAAAUCAUCACGCUCUACACAUGCCCGUCCAUCUUCAUCUUCAUCUUCCAGGAAAAGGAAUGGACAUGAUACAAACUGUAAAGAGAUGCAAUUUGAUGCAGAAAAUGUUCUUGAGAAUGGAAGUUGCCAAAUUUCUUAGCCUCUUACAAUCAUUCAACUUAGAAAGUAGUUUGAUGCUUGCAGGUAUACUUUUAAAAUCGUUUUCAUCUAAAUAUAACUCUUCCAAUGAAAUUAAUGACCCAAUGCUCUCUGGAAUUUCUGAUAUACCUCACUUAUUCAGAUAAAAUUUCCUUAGGCAAUUCAAAGCAGACAAAGGAGGCAAUGUCAUCAAACCCUUACAGACCCUCGCAACAUAAGAAUUCCAAUUUGCUCAAUUGAUUGAUAGAUGAUGGUAAUAUUUUCAUGCCCCUUGCUUUUGCUUCACGCUCCAUCCGCAAUUUUAAAUCUCCACAAUUAUCUGGCAGUCCGUUGAAUUUCAGACAAUUUGUAACAUCAAUUCCUUCAAGAGAUUUAACUGACAAACACUUUGCGGGGUGGAACUAGACUUCAAGUGUUGGGAUUAAGGAUCAAUAUAAAUAUUUGUGUGUGUUGCUGAUAUAAUUGAACCAAUUUACAAAAUUUGUUUUAAAGAUCAAUUGAAAUGAAGCAAACAUCUUUUAAAGAUCAAUCUAUACUUCCCACCAAAACUCCAAACUAGCAAAUAAUUACAAGCAUUUAGGAUAACUGCAAACAUGAUUAAAGGUCUUCCACCAACUGCAACAAGCCCUUGAGAUACAAUGCCAAUGUACAACUGCAGAAACUUAGAAAUAGAUUAGCUAUUAUGAGUGCUAAUAGCCAAGUAACAGCCAAUAAUAAGCUGAUUCUCUCCACUACUGUGAUGCUGUGAAUUGAAAACUGAAGUCAACCAAAAUCCCAUAAUUCAGAGUUCGCCGCCGGUAUGUAUCCUUAUUUGGUUCUCCCUGAUGCCAUCCUUCUUGGUUUUAAUCAUUCCUUAUUCGGCUUUCCUAUUUUCUUCCCGAUAUAUAGGAUGAAUGCCACAAUUGAUCACCUUCGCACUGUCUUCACCUUUUCCGGAAAAAUUUAGAGAGAAGUGAUCAACAUGGAAUGAGACUCGAGUGAAAUUCCGUUCAUGAUCAAAAGAUGUAUACCUAAGGAACACAUGUUUUGAAUCUAACUUAGGAAGCCAAAAAUAUCGAAGAUAAAAGUUACAGCUAUAUUUAUACAUCUUUCCAGAUUUAUCUUGGAAGUUCACAUAACCCGUAAUGCCAUAUUCAUCCAAAUCAAAAUCUUGGAAAUCAAUAACAACGGAAAAAUAAAAACCCAACACACGAUCAGGUCUUUCCAACUGAACUGAAAGAUGAGACCCACUUGUUCGAUAUUUCAUAAUUUGCGGCACUUUCCCCCCAGGGAUACAUAAUUGACACUGUUGCUCCAUGAAAAUAUAUUUUGUUAAAGAAUAUCAUAAUUAAAUAACGAUAGAGCUGAAUUUAAAUAGCUGAUGAAUGAGUAAAUGGAUAAUUUAAACACAAAUUUUAAAAAACGCCUAUAAUAACUAUUGAAAUCUUUCGUGAUAUAUAGUUCAAUUUUAUUAUGUUUAUCUCUCUUCCCUUAUCAAAGCAUAAAUUAAUUAUGAAAUUCACAAGUUAGGAAAAUAUUCCAUUGAUGUUUAUCAUCGAAAAUCUUAAUUAACAAUUUUUUUUUAAUAAGGACUUCUUUAUUAAUUUAAUAUUAGAGAAAGGGAACAUACGUGCUGGUCUGGGUGUGCUGAGAACGGGGCUUCCAAAAUCUGAAGACGUAAUUUAUCACCCAAUUUGAUGCAGUUACCAAAAUUAAGAUCAGUGUACCUGGAAGAGGACGAAAAUGAUACAAAUUCUAAAGAGGAGCAAUUUGAUGCAGAAAAUAACCUUGUGCCUGGAAGCGCUGGCAAAUAUCUAAGCCUCUGACAAGCAUCCAACACAAGAGUCUCCAAGUAAGAAAGUUGUUUGAUGCUUGCAGUAAUGCUUUUGAAAUCGUUUCCAUAUAAAUAUAACUUUUUCAAUGAAACUAAUGAUCCAAUACUCUCUGGAAUUUCUGAUAUACCAGAGUCACGCAGAUGAAGCAUCUGUAGGCUAUUCAAACCGGACAACGAAGGCCAUACCGUCAAACCUUUACAGCCCAUAAAAUUCAAACGUUCCAAUUGGCUCAAUUGAUUGAAAGAGGAUGGUAAUGUUCUUUCACUUCCUGUUGCUUUAAGUGCCUUCAGAGAUUUUAAAUAUCUGAAGUUAUUUGGCAAUGUGCUGAAUUUCAAAUAUCUAAGAUCAAUGCAUUCAAGAGAUUGUAACUGGCCAAUGGAGUUUGGAAGAUUUUCAAGCUCUGUACACCCACUUAACGAUAAUGCAACACGUUGAGAGCAAUGUCCAAUUGAUGAAGGCAAUUGUUUUAUUGCAGUUCUACUUAAAUUUAAAUCCCUUAAAUUGCAAGGAAUUUCUGGACAUUCUUCAAGUUUACUGCAGCCUUGAACAUUAAGAAUCUCAAGAUUUUCUAACUGAAGGAAGCUUGGCAAAUUGCGAAUACUUUUACAGUUAUCUAACUGUAGCUGAGCAAGCUUUGGGGCUUGAAAUGAGUCCGAAAUUCUCAAUAAAGACGGAGAGCUGCGGAGGUCCAUAACUUUCAAACUUUUAAAAGGCUGUAAUAAAAAGAGCAAGAAUAUGAAUGAUUAAAAUUUAAUGUUUAAUUUAUAUUUGUUAUGGAAAAGAAAUAAUAAUUUUCACUCUCAUAAAAUCAAUUUUAUAAAAUUUAACUCAAUUAAAUCCCAUCUUAUUAUGUUAUACUUGAAGUUCAUUUACACCAAAUAGAAAAGUAUUAAACUUUAGGAAGUAUAGCAAAACUUUAAAAAUGCAGUACCUUACUAUCUCCUUUCCACAGUUGUUUGAGCUGGCUGCAAGGCAAGCGAAGUUCUACAAGAUUAUUUGGGCAAAACUUCGACGGCAAAGAUUUCAAAGGGUAAAAAAGCCAAGAUAAAUAUCUUAGCUGUUCCGGAAGAAAAUCAAGGCCAUCAGGCAAAAUCCAAUUGGAAUCGGUGAUUCUGAGGAAUCUAAGAUUAGGCAUCUUCAUGAAACUUUUGGAACGUAUCUCAAUAGCUUCAGCAUUCGACGAAGAAGGCGAAAUGCACUCAAUCUUAUCAGUUCCCUGAUAAACGAACAACAAAUGGAAAAUCAAUAUAUAUAUAUAUAUAUAUAUAUAUAUAUAAAGGUAUGAGUAUAAAAUAUUUAAAAAGAAAAGCAAUUGGAACCAUCUCUAAUUAUGUUCAGUGGUAAUUUCAAAAGUGGCAAAUUUUGCUCCUUACUGUAUUUGUUUUGAAUACAUGAGAAAUGUCCUCAGGAUUCCACAACCUACUACGUCCUCCANNNNNNNNNNNNNNNNNNNNNNNNNNNNNNNNNNNNNNNNNNNNNNNNNNNNNNNNNNNNNNNNNNNNNNNNNNNNNNNNNNNNNNNNNNNNNNNNNNNNNNNNNNNNNNNNNNNNNNNNNNNNNNNNNNNNNNNNNNNNNNNNNNNNNNNNNNNNNNNNNNNNNNNNNNNNNNNNNNNNNNNNNNNNNNNNNNNNNNNNNNNNNNNNNNNNNNNNNNNNNNNNNNNNNNNNNNNNNNNNNNNNNNNNNNNNNNNNNNNNNNNNNNNNNNNNNNNNNNNNNNNNNNNNNNNNNNNNNNNNNNNNNNNNNNNNNNNNNNNNNNNNNNNNNNNNNNNNNNNNNNNNNNNNNNNNNNNNNNNNNNNNNNNNNNNNNNNNNNNNNNNNNNNNNNNNNNNNNNNNNNNNNNNNNNNNNNNNNNGAGCUUCCUCAUCAAUUAAUCCCUUAACGUGAUAAAUAUGUUCUUCAUGGCAAACAUUUCGAAGUACUUGUCUAUCUGUACUAGUUAUAAUGAUUCUACUUCCCUUACGGUACAAACUACUGUUUCCAAGUAAAAGAUCUAAAUCGUUUGAAUCAUCAACGUCAUCAAAAACAAUAAGAACUUUCUUUUUUUGCAGUCUUCUCAUAAUCCAANNNNNNNNNNNNNNNNNNNNNNNNNNNNNNNNNNNNNNNNNNNNNNNNNNNNNNNNNNNNNNNNNNNNNNNNNNNNNNNNNNNNNNNNNNNNNNNNNNNNNNNNNNNNNNNNNNNNNNNNNNNNNNNNNNNNNNNNNNNNNNNNNNNNNNNNNNNNNNNNNNNNNNGCAAGAGUUGUCUUUCCAAUACCAGCCAUUCCCCAAAUUCCUAUUAUCCAAUUUCUGUCAUUUACAUCAAUAUCCAAUAACGAUAUUACUUGCUCGACACGCGAAUCAAUUCCAACUAACUUGUCAUGGUAACUAGCAUUUGAUGGCAUAUGACUUAAUAUCUCCGAAACACGAUUGACGAUUCUUUGAACUAGCAGUUGGUCAUUCCUGAUGACAUAUGAACAACAAAAAGUAAGCCCAAACUUAUAUAUUUUCUAGAAUAGAAUCAAUUAAGUGUUUGGAAAAACUGGGUGGGUAAAACCCAUGAUUGAAGGAAUAGGAGAAAAUGAAACAGAAUUUUAACAAGAAAAUAAAAAUAAGUGAGAGUUCAAAGCAGUGGAUAUCGUGACUAAAAGCCAUCUAUCGUGUGCGCAGAUUGAUCUAUUAUUGAUGAAUAGAAAAUAAAAAGACAUGGAAAAGUAAANNNNNNNNNNNNNNNNNNNNNNNNNNNNNNNNNNNNNNNNNNNNNNNNNNNNNNNNNNNNNNNNNNNNNNNNNNNNNNNNNNNNNNNNNNNNNNNNNNNNNNNNNNNNNNNNNNNNNNNNNNNNNNNNNNNNNNNNNNNNNNNNNNNNNNNNNNNNNNNNNNNNNNNNNNNNNNNNNNNNNNNNNNNNNNNNNNNNNNNNNNNNNNNNNNNNNNNUCAUUUAUCACAACAAGCUCGUCCAAGCACCAUGGAGAAUCUGCAUAGUUUUUGGAGAAUAUGACAAUUGAAAUACAUGAUUCUUGAAUUGUUUGCUUGAGGGAUGGUGUUAUUUCAGUUCCUUUUUUAAGGUUUUCAUCCUUGAAGGUAUCGAUUCCUUUUUCCUUCAAAGAUUCAAAGAGAAAGGAGAGAAAACCGUCGCGUAUGUCUUUGCCUCUGAAAUUAAUAAAAACUUCACAGUUAUUAGGCUCGGAAGGGUUUUGCUGGGAAGAGGUUGAGGAAGGAUAAGAAGCAGCAAUAGAAUUAAUGAUAAAAGAAGGGGUUCGCUGGGAAGAGCUUGAAGCAGAAGAAGAGAAAGCAGAACUCAUAAUGGAGAAUUCCAAUGAUACAAGAAGCCGUACAGGGCGAUAAUAGUUUGGAUACUCAUAGUUUAAAAAAAAACUUAAUGAAUAAACUUUAAUAUUUUUAAAUAAACUUAACGAAUUUCUAGUGAAUGUCAUCAUAACAGAUUCAAUAAUAUUAGAAAAAAAAAAUUGUACAGAAAAAGAAAUAGAUAUUCAUUAUUUUAUUUAUUAUUGGUGAUAAAUCUCAUUAAUGUCAUUAUUUAUUUAUUUUGGUUUUUUUUUUUUUUUUGACAUUAUUUAUUUUGGUUGUUAGUAUGACUUUCACCCACACACAUACCUCACUCUGCGCUAAGAUUUCUUUUGUGCUCAGUGAAUAGAACAAUGGGUCUGGGUAUUACCAAUUUAUGAGAAUUAAAAGGAGAAAGAAUCUAAUGUAUUGUGGACCAUCUUAAUGUAGUAGACCACCUGAUCUUCAGGUCGUGGUGGCUGUGAUUAUGGGUUGGUCUCGUGUCCCAUCCCAUCCAAAUAGUUACUUGGCAUUUGACUCUUUAGCGGCCGAUUUGUAUUUACUAACUGAUUUGAAUUUAUAUUACAUUUUUAUUAAAUUUUAUAAAAUUUAUUAAUGUAAUUUUUGAAUUAUUAAUUUUAUAUAAUUAGUUUGCUCAUAAUUAAAUAAAAUAAUAAAUAACUAUUAAACAUUAGUGUAAAAAAUUCAUUAAAGUGUUUUAUUUAUAUGGCAUGCUAAAAUAAAGAUAUGCAAAAAUACCGUAAAUUUUAUCUUUUAUAGCAAUCUCAUUCAAAAUUAAUUUUAUGACAAUUGUAAUCCAAAUUUGAUAUUUUGUAGCUAUUACAAUCUUUAUAUUGAAAUUGGAACUGGAAUUUCAAAUAAAAAAUGAAAAUUUUCCUUGAUCCUAUGUUGGAGCUUGGGUUAAUUUAACCUAAGUAUAUAGUAAAUUUGAAAAAUGUCCGCUUUAAUGCUCCUUCGUCCCAAAAAGAUAAUACAUCUUUUUUUUUUUUUUGAUUUGUCUAGUCUACUUUUUUUUUUUUUUUUUGCAUUAUAGUUAAUCUUUAAAUUAUCUAUUACACCAUUAUUAAACUUUAUUUUAUUUUCAAUAACCCUGAUUAAUUCUUACUUAUUAUUUCAAUAUAAUAAUUGCUCGCGUAUUAUUUAAGAUGAACAUAAUAAGACAAUUAUAUGAAUAAAAUUAUCCUUUAAUCAUAAUAAUUACUAUUUUCUUAAAAUGUGAAAAUAAAAAGCAAACUAUAUUUUUAGAAUGGAGGAAGUAGUAGAUUGAGAGACGAUGUAUGAGCGAAAAAUCAUUUUUUUAACAUUUCUUGAUUACGGAGAACACUAAUUUUGAGAGAUAAAUAAAAAGUUAAUUUACAAAUUUGAUUCAGACACCCAAUUAUAUAUAUAUAUAUAGAAAUGUUCAAGAAAAGGAAAGUAUGUUAAGAAUUUUCUCAAAAUAAGUAGAAACAUUACUUCUUUAAUUUACAUGCUUUCGCUAUCUUUUUCUUUUCUGAUGAUGCCAUAAUUAUAUCAAGGGGAAAAAUCCCAAAAAAAUAAAAAAAUAAAAAAAUAAAAGAAAGAGCGAGCUCACCAUAAUAAAACUGAGCCAUCCCACACUUUUACUAUCCACCCAUCUCUCCUUUCCAAAUUGCAUACAUUCCCUUGCGCUUUCUCUCUCUGCUUCUCUCUAUCUACAAAAAGACACAUUCACUUUGUCUCUCUCUUUAUCUUUCUCUGCCUGUGAGGUAUGAACACCCACAAAAGCUACAGUUCUCCAGAUUCUUUCUUCUCUUAAUAAUCACAGUUUGUUUCUUUCCCUUUUUUAAUUCAAAUUUCUCAGAUUCUUUACUUUCCUUCAACUCUCUCCAAUUCCAUAUUUUCCUUUCCUUUUCUCUCUUUUUUCUCUUAAAUCUCUCUUAAUUACCUCAGAUUCCUACCAAAAUUCCUUUCUCCCUCCCUCUAAAGCUCCUGUUUUUCAGAAUCAUUGUCAAAGUUAUUCCCUUUCUACGGCUUUUAACGUGGGAGAUAUGAAUUGAAGCUGAAUUGUCAAAGUUAUUCCUUUUCUCUCUUUGUUUGAUUUUUUAAUGAGAUUGGCUUAUUCUCAAAAAAAAAAAAAAAAACCUCUUUAUGCUUAGAAUUUAAUUUUAGUUUAUGCUUUUUUUUUUAAUAGCAACCAAUUUAAAUUAUCUUUUAGGUUCUUCCGCAACAAUAGCUUUUUAAAUAACAACACUAAAUGUUAAUAAUAAAAUAAAACAUCUGAAUUAGAUUUUAGAUGUUAAAAUAAUAUUAUAUAAAAAGUUAACUCAUGUAACGUAUUUAAUUUUUAAUAUUUUAUUAAAAACUAUUUAAAAAUUAACUCGUGAAUCUAAUCAAACAGUUAAUACUAUUAAAACAAUUAAAAACAAUCGAACAGUUAAAAAAAUUUUGCCAAACAAAUACUUAUAUAUAAUCUAAUAUAAUAUAACUAAGAGAAAUUCAUGUAACUGUUGAGACCAUUAUAUUCCUUAUCAAGUAUAAAAGUCAUAGUCUAAAUAUUGAGGAAAAUUGACCUCACAGUCAUAAUUUAAUAAAUUUUUUUAAAAAAAUCAUAAUUAGAUAAUUAUGUAACUCUUGGUCAUAAUUUGAAAUUUUCAAGAAAUAUUUCAAGCAUCAAAAAUACUAUAUUAUUAAUUUAUUUAUUUAAUUGCUCAAAAAUAAAGAAUCCACUGUUAAUGUAUAGAUAAUCAAAAUAUAUUCACUGUCCAUUAUCCACAUUAAAACUAUCAUUUGAAAUUAUAUAUUGGAUAAUAGGUAACUUAUUAUAUAAAUUUACUUUAAAUUAAUAAUUAAUAUGUAUACUUCUCCCAUAAUUUUAAUGGGCAAAAAAAAAAAAAAAAAAAGGAAUUCUAUCCCUCUUGUUUAAUGGACUUCAUUUAGCUCAUUAAAGUAUUUGCUUAUAAAAUUUUUGUUUCAAAUUUAUAUUUUUUACGGUCAUUUUAUUUGUAGUUAUUGAAAAAUAAUUUCUUUAAAAUAUUAUUUUAAAAUUUUUAACUAUUAUUUUAUUAAUAUAAUACAUUAAAAUAAAAAUAAUAUAUUCGCUUUAAAUAUAUUUAUAUAUAUAUAAACAAUUAUACCUUUAAUAGUCAUUUUAUAUUUUAACAGCAACUAUUAUCAAUAUUUUACCAAAUACGAAUAUUAAUCAGUUAAUCACUAUCAAUCAUCAAUUAGCAACAACCGCUAUCAGCUAACAGCCUAUUACGAAUAGUUAAACCAAACAGGCCUUAAUAGAUCAACGUUCCCAAAUCUCAUCUCAGCUUAAAGUUCUAUCUUCUCCUCUCAACUCUCUCUCUCCCCUCUUUUAUUAUAUUGCUACAUCUUUUUAUUGUUAAUCAUGACAUUUUUUCCCCUUUAAGAAACCCUAAAAGUGCUUUUAAUGUUCAUGAAAACGAAACAGGAAAUUACAAAGAAGCUGAGAAGACGAUAAACAAUGGAUCUACCAAACAAUCUUUUUUUUCACCUUCAACAGGGACAUACAUGUUUUUAACCAAAAGAAAAGAAACAAAAAGAUAUAAACUUUGACUAAAUUGCACAUAUGCAACAUGCAUGUCCCUCUCCCACGCGUCUUAGGCUGGGCUCCACUGACGUGUCUCCCAUUAGUGUUUGGGGGGGAGGGUUUGUGUGAGUGCCUUAAAUUAUGAGGUUUGACUACUGGAUAGAAGUCUUUUUUUUUUUUUUGAAGGAAAAGUUUUGAGCCUAUCUUUGAUCACGUUUGAUACUUUAAUAAUAAAUAAAUAAUAUUCUCAUAAUUGCUUUUGUUACAAAUUAAAUUUAGAGAGAAAGGAAAUAUUAUUCCCAUAAACUAAUAUGAUAGACUGGAAUAUAAUAAAGAAAAAGGAUGGGUUAAAGUGUAAAUUAUGUAUUUUUUUUAAAAGUUUCACAGUGUUACAAAAAUCAAUAAUAAUUUAUAAUUCACAAUUUUAUCCUUGAUUAAUUUUUUAUUUUUAAAAAUAUUAAACUCAAAUUUAUUUAUUUAUUUAUACAAUAUCGUGACCUUUUCUCCAUUUAAGUGAAGGCCAUAUUGAAAUUGUUCCUCUGAAAUAUGUACAUGGCGGAUGGCCGAGUAUUAUUAUGCAGUUGUUAUAACAUAAAGAACGAGAAAAUCUAUGAUUCUCUAGAUUUUUAUAACUCUUACCCUCAACUGUUUUAGAAUUUUUAAAUCGUUAAUUAACAAUGAAAAAAUAAUUAUUUUGUCCCUGAAGUUUUAGAAAAUUAAUUAUUUCAUUCUCGUAUUUUUAUAUAUUGGAUAUGUAGUCUUUAAAAUUUGGUUUUGUCUCAUCAAAUGAUCUUUCUGUUUAAUUAUAGUGAUUUUUACCCGUUAAAUUACUAGUGAAAGGCUAAAACACCUCUUUCAUAAGAUAAAAAUUAAAACCACUAUCCCUCUUCUUCUCUCCAAAUCUCCAUUUCUGAUUCUACAACAAUUCAAAUUUUAAAAAAUAAAUUAAUGAAUACACUUGAAAAAUCUAAACUAUCAAAAGUAAAAGAUUCCAUAAAACCUAUUUCAAUUAACAAUGAAUACACUUGAUUUGUAUAAUUACAAUUUAUUGCUCACUUGUAAAACCUAUGUCAAUUGAAUCCAAUUGCUGAUGAGUAUAAAAAUCAUAGUAUAAAUACCGAGGAAAAUUGACCUCACAAUCGUAAUUUAAUAAUUUUUUUUUAAAUCAUAAUGAGAUAAUUACAUAACUCUUGGUCAUAAUUUGAAAAUUUCAAGAAAUAUUUCAAGUAUAAAAAAUACUAUAUUAUUAAUUUAUUUAUUUAAUUACUCAAAAAUCAAAGAAUCCACCAUUAAUGUCAUUAAUGUUUAGAUAAUCAAAAUGUAAUCACUGUCCAUUAUCCACAUUAAAACUAUCAUUUGAAAUGAUAUAUUGUAUGAUAGUUAACUUAUUAUAUAAAUUUACUUUAACAAAUUAAUAAUUAAUAUAUAUAUUCCUCGGUUCCAUAAUUUUAAUAGGCAAAAAAGAAAAUUAUUGAGAAUAUUUUGUAUUUAUACAUGAAAAGAGGGAGGAAAAGGGGGAAGAAAGAUACCAUAUGAACACCAUUAUUGCAAUAGUCAAAAAAGAAAAUUGAAGGAAAUAUCUUAUUCUUAUGCAUGGAAGGUGGGAGGAAAAGGGGGGAAGAAAGACACAAUAUGAACCCCAUUAAUGCAAUAGUCAAAAAAGAAAUUAAGGAAAUAUUUUAUACUUAUAUAUGGAAGGAGGAAGAAAAGACAUAACGACUUAGGUUACAUUUAUUUUCAGAAGACAUGAUGUUUUUCCUUGAAAAAUACUUUCCAAAUGAUUUUUUUUCGUUUUUUAGUUGUAAUAUUAAAAAUAAGUUAAAAAUAUUAAAAUUUAACUCAUAAGAGCAUAAAAAUAUUAAUAAUAGUAAUAGAAAUUUCAUAUUUUAAAAAUUUUAUUAUUAAAUAUGAGAAGAAUACAGAAAAAAGUAAAUUAUAAAAGAUGUCAAUGACCGUGAUAGUGGACGAUGGUAUCCACCGGUGGUGAAUGGUAAUUGAUAGUAAUAGCCACCGAUGGUUAAUAAAUUAAAAAUUAUAAAGUUAUAAUAAGUUUUUUAAUGUCAGAAAAAUAUUUUAAAGUCUUAAAAAUGAGAAGUCAUUUUCCUUCAAAAUGAUUUGAUUUUUCUUUAACCAAGAAAAUAAAUUCUCUUUACUUAUUUUCUUGAAUGCCCCAAACAAUGAAAAAUUAUAAAAAAUCUCAUCUUAGAGCUACGUCUUCUUCCUCUCAUCUCUCUCUCCUCUUUUAUUAUAUUGCUACACCUUUUUUAUUCUUAUUUUGUUAUAUUCUUCUCUUAACCAUGACAUUUUUUUCCCUCUAAGAAACCCUAAAAAUGCUUAUAAUUUUAAUGAAAACAAAACAAAAAAUUACAAAGAAGUUGGGAAGGCCAUAAAAAAGGGUCUACCAAACACUCUUUUUUUCACCUUUAUCAAAGAGUGAAUUUUUUGAACCAAAAAGAUAUAAACUUUGACUAAAUUGGACAAAUGCAUGUGCCUCUCUCACGUCCCUUCCUCUAUGUAUAUGUUCAAUUGUUCCUUUGGUCAUUUCUUUUUAACCAUUGACCUAUCUUUGCAAUGUUAUAUUUACUAUUUUGGCCCGCUAUUUAGUUAUAUAUGAUACAAAUUUUGCUCCAUUCAGUCACGAGUCACCUUAGAAAUAUCUUUACAAUUUCAUAAUAAUUAGCAAAUACUUUUGUGUUUGAAAAGACUCAAAACUGGUUCUCCUUACAAGAAAAGAUUAUUUAGUUACCCUUAUUGCUAUUUUAUUUUUUAGUAAGAAGACAUUUGUAAUCUUUUUUUUGUUUAAUUGUUCGCUAUUAGAUUUAUUAAAUAAAUACCAUCAACAAUGUAUUUUUUGAAGUGAUAAGCGACUUCAAUUUUCAGAAAAGUGAAAAUACUUGCACUUUAAUAGAAGUAAAAAAAAACCUUUUCACUUAAGAAGAAUUAUAACUCUCAAUCGUGAGUAUAACUAUUAAGUAAUAGAUUGAUAGCAAUAGCACGAUACGAUUAUUUUUUGAUCCAAUAUAGGCACUUGAGCCUGCAUGAGAGUUUAGCUCAGCCCAAUUUGUCCCAACCCCGAACUCAUCAUGCAUGUAAGAUCCUUCGUACUGUCAAAUUUGCAAGUUUAUCCUAAUAGUUUGAUUUAGGAUUUUUUUUUUGAAAUCUAAUAAAUUAAAUAAAAUUGAAUAUUUCAAUUAUUAUGAGGUAAGAUGAAUUUAUUCAUCAAAAUUCAAUUUUUUACGGAAAAAUAUUCUCCAAAAAAAAUAUAAUUCCAAGAAAUUAUUAACUAUAGUAAGAUAAUCAUAAAAAUUUUCUAAGAAAAUAGCAUAAUUAUGACAAUUAAUAUUAUUUCCUCUGUCCCAAAAUAAAAGAUAUUUAAGUUUUUUUACAAGGAUCAAGGAAAUAAUUAAUGUUCCUAAUAUAACAAAAUCAAUGAUAAUUUAGUCAAAUAGUUACUCUUGUGAAAGUAGUUAUUCUAUAAGGUUAACAUUGAAAAAAAUCAUUUAUUAUUACUUAAAAUGCUCAAAACAAUUUAUAGUUUGUAACAAAAUAAUCACACAAAAAUAAAUUAUAUUUUGGAACAAAGAAAUAUUGUUAUAUAAUUUUAAAAUCUCUUAUUUUCAAUAGAAAUCUAAUUUUUUUCAACUUUUGAGACGAGAAAAUACAGUCAUGAAUGUAAAAAAGUAAAGAUAAGACAUAAAUGCUAAAAACUUAUUUUUUCUGAUAAAGUACUAAUCAAACAUUAAAAUUUAACACCAUUCAGUUAUGAUCUGAUCGAUCUUUCUACAAAAUAUAAAAAAUAUGUAGAGUGAAAGGUCUCGAAAAUAUUUUUGACAAAAAGGUUAUAAAUAUUCCUAUCAAUAUCAUAUCAAUUAACUUGGUAAUAAAAAUCCAUAAUUGCGAAGUCUUUAAACGAACAUCAUAUCAAAGAAAAUUACAGAAGAGCAAUAAAGAAAAAUGAUAUAAAUGACAUUUGUUUAUAUGCUCUGCUCAUUACAUGCGAUAUUCAGAAAUAUGCUCUGCUCAUUUCUAUCUAACCCAUCAUACCCUAGUUUUAGAGCAUCUUGAAUUCUCUUGUUCGGUAUGCUUUUCAAUUUGAGCAACUGGCUCUCCCAGUACUCUUUCUUCUUGCCAUAAAGGCUAGAGCUUAAAACUUUUAGUGCUAAUGGAUUGCCUUGAGCAUAACUUAUCACCUGCUCGGAUAGCUCCUCAUAUCCUUCUUUCGGUUCAUUUUGACGGAAAGCGUGCAAGCUAAAGAGUUGAUGAUCUUCCUUAUCAAUUAAUCCCUCAACCUGAUAAAUAUGUUCUUCAUGGCAAACGUUUCGAAGUACUUGUCCAUCUGUACUAGUAAUAAUUAUUCUACUUCCCUUACGGUACAAACUACAGUUUCCAGCUAGAAGAUCUAAAUCGUGUGAAUCAUCAACGUCAUCAAAAACAAUAAGAACUGUCUUACGUUGCAGCCUCCUCAAAAUCCAGUCAUCUAAAACUAAAAGAGGUGAGCCCAUUUUCAAAUUUUCCUCUCCCAAUAGUGAACGAAUGAUUUUAUCCCGUAAAACAAUUGCUGUUUCCUUCCUUAUCUGUUCCUUGACAUUUAAAACAAAGCAGUAGGCAUCAAAUUUAGCCUUGAUUUGGGAAAACACAAUACCGGCAAUAGUUGUCUUUCCAAUUCCAGCCAUUCCCCAAAUUCCUAUUAUCCAAUUUCUGUCAUUUACAUCAAUAUCCAAUAACGAUAUUACUUCCUCGACACGCGAAUCAAUUCCAACUAACUUGCCAUGAUGGUAACUAGCAUUUGAUGGCAUAUGACUUAAUAUCUCUGAAACACGAUUGACGAUUCUUUGAACUAGCAGUUGGUCAUUCCUGAUGACAUAUGAACAACAAAAAGUAAAAUAUAUUCUAGAAUAGAAUCAAUUUAAGUGUUUGGAAAAACUGGGUGGGUAAAACCCAUGAUUGAAGGAAUAGGAGAAAACGAAACAGAAUUUUGACAAGAAAAUUAAAAUAAGUGAGAGUUCAAAGGAGUAGAUAUCGUGACUAAAAGCCAUCUAUCGUGUGCGCAAGAUUGAUCUAUUAUUGAUGAAUAGAAAAUAAAAAGACAUGGAAAAGUAAACAGGGGAAAAUGAUAACUUUACUUGAUCUCAUUCGAAACAAAAGCACUUAAGUUGCUGAUUGUCUUCAAAGCAUGGCACCAUCCACCCAGGUUGUGUGAACUAUCGCUGUGAUCUUUUAAAAGCCUAGCAAGUGCCCUUGCGAAAGGGCCUCUCAGCUCUUGAACAUCAGUUGGAUCUACACGGUAAAAAACUGGCAAAACNNNNNNNNNNNNNNNNNNNNNNNNNNNNNNNNNNNNNNNNNNNNNNNNNNNNNNNNNNNNNNNNNNNUAGUUUUUGGAGAAUAUGACGAUGGAAAUACGUGAUUCUUGAAUUGUUUGCUUGAGGGCUGGUGUCAUUUCAAUUCCUUUUUGAAGGUUUUCAUUUUUGAAGGUAUCGAUUCCUUUUUCCUUCAA